UGGCUCAGUAACACGUGGAGAAUCUAACCUUUGGUGGAGGAUAAUCUCGGGAGACUGAGAAUAAUACUCCAUAAACAUAGGAUGCUGGAAUGCUUCUAUGUUGAAAGGCAACGCCAAAGGAUGACUCUGCGACCUAUCAGGCUGUAGUGAGUGUAAUGGACUCACUAACCUGCAACGGGUACGGGUGUUGGAAGACAUUGCCCGGAGAUGGACUCUGAGACAUGAGUCCAGGUUCUACGGAACGCAGCAGGCGCGAAAACUCCGCAAUGUACGAAAGUACGACGGGGGAAUUCUGAGUGCUUACGCCUUGCGUAGGCUGUUUUCUUGUCUAAAAAACAAGGAGAGUAAGGGCUGGGUAAGACGGGUGCCAUCUCGUGCAAUUCUGCACUUAUUGUGUUCGUUGCACGAAGCACAAGCCGCCGCGGUAAUACCCGCGGCCCGAGUGGUGCUCAUUAUUAUUGAGCCUAAAACGUCCGUAGCCGGUUUAAUAAAUUCUUGGGUAAAUCAUAUCGCUUAACGAUAUGAAUUCUGAGAACACUGCUAAACUCGGGAAUGGGAGAGGCCAGAGGUACUUUCAGGGUAGGGGUAAAAUCCCGUAAUCCUGAGAGGACCACCGGUGGCGAAGGCGUCUGGCUAGAACAUAUUCGACGGUAAGGGACGAAGCCCUGGGGCGCAAACGGGAUUAGAUACCCCGGUAGUCCAGGGUGUAAACGCUGUAGAUUUGGUGUUGGAAAUCCUACGGGGAUUCCCAGUGCCGGAGAGAAGUUGUUAAAUCUACUGCUUGGGGAGUACGGUCGCAAGACUGAAACUUAAAGGAAUUGGCGGGGGAGCACCGCAACGGGUGGAGCGUGCGGUUUAAUUGGAUUCAACGCCGAGAAACUCACCGGGGGCGACCAUUAUAUGAAGG
rnacentral:rRNA from 1 species